GACGAACGCUGGCGGCGUGCUUAACACAUGCAAGUCGAACGGAAAGGCCCUGCUUUUGUGGGGUGCUCGAGUGGCGAACGGGUGAGUAACACGUGAGUAACCUGCCCUUGACUUUGGGAUAACUUCAGGAAACUGGGGCUAAUACCGGAUAGGAGCUCCCGCUGCAUGGUGGGGGUUGGAACGUUUCGGCGGUUGGGGAUGGACUCGCGGCUUAUCAGCUUGUUGGUGGGGUAGUGGCUUACCAAGGCUUUGACGGGUAGCCGGCCUUAGAGGGUGACCGGCCACCUUGGGACUGAGAUACGGCCCAGACUCCUACGGGAGGCAGCAGUGGGGAAUAUUGCACAAUGGGCGGAAGCCUGAUGCAGCAACGCCGCGUGCGGGAUGACGGCCUUCGGGUUGUAAACCGCUUUCGCCUGUGACGAAGCGUGAGUGACGGUAAUGGGUAAAGAAGCACCGGCUAACUACGUG
rnacentral:rRNA from 1 species